rnacentral:rRNA from 1 species
AUGAACGCUGGCGGCGUGCCUCAUACAUGCCAGUCGAGCGAACGGACGAGAAGCUUGCUUCUCUGAUGUUAGCGGCGGACGGGUGAGUAACACGUGGAUAACCUACCUAUAAGACUGGGAUAACUUCGGGAAACCGGAGCUAAUACCGGAUGAUAUUUUGAACCGCAUGGUUCAAAAGUGAAAGACGGUCUUGCUGUCACUUAUAGAUGGAUCCGCGCUGCAUUAGCUAGUUGGUAAGGUAACGGCUUACCAAGGCAACGAUGCAUAGCCGACCUGAGAGGGUGAUCGGCCACACUGGAACUGAGACACGGUCCAGACUCCUACGGGAGGCAGCAGUAGGGAAUCUUCCGCAAUGGGCGAAAGCCUGACGGAGCAACGCCGCGUGAGUGGUGAAGGUCUUCGGAUCGUAAAACUCUGUUAUUAGGGAAGAACAUAUGUGUAAGUAACUGUGCACAUCUUGACGGUACCUAAUCAGAAAGCCACGGCUAACUACGUG